rnacentral:rRNA from 1 species
AGAAUCAACGCUGGCGGCGUGCCUAACACAUGCAAGUCGAACGAGAAAGUGGAGCAAUCCACGAGUAAAGUGGCGCACGGGUGAGUAACACGUGACUAACCUACCCUUGAGUGGGGAAUAACUGAGGGAAACCUUAGCUAAUACCGCAUAACACCUACGGGUCAAAGGAGCAAUUCGCUUAAGGAGGGGGUCGCGGCAGAUUAGUUAGUUGGCGGGGUAAUGGCCCACCAAGACGGUGAUCUGUA